UGUGUACAUGGCAAAUUUGUAAUUUGUAAGAUUUUUCAUUUUUGUGUAAAACAUGAAGUGAAAAAUUAAUUAAAACUUAAUAUCAAAACAUGGCAUUUGUCAGUGCUGUUACCGGCGAUGACUCCACGAAAAAAUUCAUGGAUGUCCUACAAAAUGAUUUUAAAACUCUUAGCUUAGAAACCAAGAAAAAACAUCCACAGAUAAGAGAGGCUUGUGAUGAGGCCAUAGAAAAAUUGGCAUUAGCAUCAAAUAAUCCACAAGCCUCUCUUUAUGGGGUGGUGAAUCAAAUAUUAUAUCCACUGGUGCAAGGAUGUGAGUCAAAGGAUGUGAAAAUUAUAAAGUUCUGCCUUGGCACAAUCCAACGGCUAAUCGCUCAACAGGGGAUUGAUGCGAAGGGUGCUCGUCAUGUAGUAGAUUGCCUAUACAACCUCGGACAGGCAGCCAUGCUGGAGUUAAAACUUCUACAAACAGCAGCCUUACUUAUGACAACAUCUGAUUUGGUUCAUGGAGACACAUUGGCCAGGACGAUGGUGAUGUGUAUACGCAUGGUAUCACCCAGUGAGACCAGAGACGUGAGUACGAGUCACGCAGCCGCAGCCACGGUCCGGCAGCUAGUGGCUCUCGUGUUUGAGCGUGCGCUGGCAGAGGCUAAUGGUACCCUUAAAGUAAAUCCCGCUGAUGUCAGAAUGCAAGCGAACAAUAAAGCGCCGAAGGACCUUAAGCCGUGUGCAGUGGAUGCGUACCUAAUAUUACAGGAUAUUAUUCAGCUGAUAAAUGGAGACUCGGCGCAUUGGCUUGUCGGUAUAUCGGACGUACCAAAGACGUUUGGAUUGGAGCUGUUAGAUACUGUUCUAACGGAUUUUUCGGACGUAUUUUUCAAGAUCUCAGAGUUCCGGUUUCUAUUGAAGGAACACGUGUGCGCACUGAUUAUAAGGCUGUUUUCACCCAAUGUUAAAUAUAGGGCGGCGUUCCCGUCGCCGCACAUCCCGGGCGCGGCGGGCGCGGCGGGCGCGGGCGGCGCGGCGGGCGCGCCCGAGCGGCCGCACUUCCCCGUCACCAUGCGCCUGCUGCGCCUCGUGUCCGUCAUCGUGCACAAGUACCACGACGUGCUGGUGACGGAAUGUGAGAUUUUCAUGUCGUUGACAAUCAAGUUCCUCGAUCCGGACAAACCGCUGUGGCAACGCGCUCUAGCGCUUGAAGUGCUGCAUCGGAUCACUGUACAUCCAGAUUUGCUCAAAGCAUUCUGCGAGUGUUACGACAUGAAGCCUCACGCCACGAACAUAUUCCAAGACAUCGUGAACGCGCUUGGCGCCUACGUGCAGAGCCUCUUCGUGGCCUCGCAAGUCAAUACACCAGCUGGAUCGUCAAGCAUCCCCCAACAAGCCGGUUUCUAUUGGAAAGGAGUGUGGCUACCGCUAUGCGUCACCUUUGAGCCUGGCACCGCUAAGGCAGUAUAUAUAGAGAUGCUGGAUCGUACAGAGGCGCCUACGAUACAGGAUGGGUACGGCAUAUCAGUUGCGUACGCUUGCCUCGUCGAGGUUAUACGCUCGAUCGCCAUAACCUUGGAGGGAGAAGAGUACUUCAGAUUACAAGAGCUCUACGAUGAUUCACAAAACGACGGCGAAGAUAAAGAAAUAAAUUCCAAUAAAACAACUAAUAACCAUAAAGAACCAGAGACAAAAUUAGACAAUGGUAAGGAAAUAACAAACAAUGGACACGGGGAAGCAGAUCAGAAUUCUAAUGUUGUUGAGAAAAUAGAUCCAGAUGCAGACGAUAAGGAGAUACAGUUGAAGUUGCAGCUAAUAAAAUCUUCGUGGUGCGGCUUAGUAUGGGGUCUCUCAGUGUUAGCGGAGGCCAGCAUCGGCGAGCUGGAAAACAUUUUACGAGCCAUACAGACAUUGGCAAGGGUCAGCGGGAAGGUGGGGGUGACGAACGCGCGCGACGCGUGCAUCGGCGCGCUGUGCCGCUGCGCGCUGCCGGCGCAGUACUGCGUGCCCGUGCUGGGCGCGCUGGCGGCGCUGGCGUGUCCGUGGCCCGCCGCGCGCGCCGCGCCCGCGCCCGGCGCCGACCUGCGCCACCACGUCGUGUGGGUCGGCACGCCGCUGCCCUGCGCGCAGCCCACCGGCCAGCAGCAGUCGUUCGUGAUGGUGACGUCGCGCCACGUGACGGCCAUGCGCGCGCUGCUGGCGGCGGCGCGGCGCGACGGGGACGCGCUGCAGCACGCGUGGCUGCCCGUGCUCACCACGCUGCAGCACCUGGUCUGGAUACUGGGUCUGAAGCCGUCGACCGGUGGCAGUAUGAAGGCGAGCCGGGCGAGUGCGGACGCGAACGCUGUUAUGAGCACGUCGGCUGUCAUGGCGGACUUACCUGGUCAGCAAGUUCCCGUGGCCGAGUCUCUCGGAGUCAUGAGUGCAUUAUCGGCUAUGUUGUCAAGAGUUUUCGAAGCUUCCAAGAACUUGGACGAUGUAGCUCUUCAUCACCUAAUAGAUGCGCUCUGUAAGCUCUCCAACGAGGCCAUGGAGCUCGCGUAUUCGAAUAGAGAGCCAUCUUUAUUCGCGGUCGCUAAACUCCUCGAGACGGGCUUGGCGAACAUGCACAGGAUAGAGAUAAUGUGGAGGCCGAUCACGAAUCAUCUCCUUGAAGUGUGCCAGCACCCCCACAUCAGGAUGCGGGAGUGGGGCGUGGAAGCUAUCACGUACCUCGUGCAGGCCGCUUUCCAGUACCACCACAAUAACCCCGGUCUUGUCACCGAGGCGCGCGAGCGGCUGGUGCUGGAGCCGCUGGCGGAGCUGUGCGCCGUGCGGCACUGCGACGUGCGCGCGCGGCAGCUGGAGUGCGCCGCGCGCCUGCUGCACUCGCGCGGGGACCAGCUGGGCGCCGCCUGGCCGCUCAUGAUGGAGAUCAUCUCCGCCAUCAGCGACCACCACAGUGAGCAGCUGGUACGUUCGGCGUUCCAAUGCGCGCAGCUGGUGGCCGGCGACCUGCUGGGCUGUGCGGGGCCGCGCUGCCUGCGCCGGGUGCUCGCCGCCGCCGCCGCCUUCGCCCGCCAGACCAAAGAAUUGAAUAUUAGUCUCACUGCUGUGGGCUUGAUGUGGAACAUAUCCGACUACCUGUACCACAACCGCGACAAGCUGUCCGCCGCCCUGAGCAGCGAGGCGGCGGCCGCGCCCGACGCGCAGCCCGACCUGCCGCCGCUGGACCGCCUGUGGAUGUGUCUCUACAUACGCCUCAGCGAGCUGUGCACGGAGGCGCGCGCGCCCGUGCGGCGCGCGGCGAGCCAGACGCUGUUCAGCUGCAUCGGCGCGCACGGGACGCUGCUCAGCAAGCCCGCCUGGCGCGCGCUGCUGGCCGUGCUGUUCCCCAUGCUGGACCAGGUUCAAAAGCAGUCUAACAUUGCCAGUUCCGAGAAGGUGGACACCGGCGAGCACAUCCUCAUCCACCACACGCGAAACACCGCGCAGAAACAGUGGGCGGAGACUCAAGUGUUAACACUGUCAGGCGUAUCACGGGUGUUCCAUUCCCGUUUUCAAUUACUGACAACAGUUGGGGACUUCAACAGAUCCUGGACCGCGUUACUUGAUUACAUUACCGAUUUCGCCUUGCGCAGGAGUCAUGAGGUGUCAGUAGCAGCUUUGAAAUCAUUCCAAGAAGUGGUGUCAGCGGCGGGUCGCGUCGAGGGCGAAGCCCCGCGACGCGUGUGGCCUGCGGCGUGGGCCGCCUGGACGACCAUCGCAUCCGGCGUCGGAGGACCACCGCCCGUUUCAGAAGACGGGAAGCCGGUGGAGCUGUACGCGCCGUCGCUGAACUUCCUCACCACACUAGUGCAGAUCUUCCCGCUUAUCUUCCAACACAUACGGCCUACGUUUACGGCAGAGGACGUGCAGAAGCUCGGCGAGUGCCUGUCGAACGUGUGCAGCGUGGAGCCGUCGGCGUCGGCGCUGGACGGGCUCGGCAGCGGCGCGCCCGUCAGCCUGCACGCGCUGCACUGCCUGGACACCGUGCACAAGGAGGCGCUGGCGCGGCACGAGCUGCUGGGCGCGCUGUUCUCGGCGCUCAUCGCGCUGGCGGGCGCGGCGGAGCAGGCGGGCUCGGCGCGCAGCCUGGCCGCCGCCGCGCGCCUGUACCGCGCCGCGCCCGGGCCCAGCGCGCAGCACGCGCCGCGCCUGCUGCAGGCUCUUCACACAGCGGUAAAGAAAUGUUCACCGGACAAGAGACGGCGAAACAGCGACAGGGAGCGGGACCAGCCCGACGAAGCCACGCAGAUCGCCUCGCUACUAUUGCAGGUGCUAGCGACGGGCCUACCACUAGCGAGAGAAAACCCUGACGAAUAUGCUGAAUUUUGGGAAAUUCUGCCCACCGUUUUGGAGACGUUUAUGUUUGAGCCACCCGUGGGCGGCUCCGCGCAGGCGCGCGAGGUGGUGGGCGUGGUCCGCGACGAGGUGCUGCGCGCCGCGCCCCGCGCGCCCGCGCCCGCCGCGCGCCGCCUGCUGGCGCUCGUGCGCGCCGGCUCGCUGCACCACCACGCGCAGCCCGCGCACUCCGCGCACUCCGCGCACUCCGCGCACCAGCUCCUGCAGAAUGAGCAAGAACUUAAGGAGAGGGAGGAGUUUGCGAGAACUUGCUUCGAAACGCUUCUCCAAUUCUCCAUGCUUGAAGACAUGGACUCCAUAACCGCCGCUGAAAACGAAAGCGACCCAUUGGCGAUAAUGCCAUUAUUAGAUCGAUUUCAAGAAGUUAUAUCCAGGUAUAAUAAAGAAGAAGACAGCUCGGAACCAUUACCCAGACAGCAGGCGUCGGAGGUGUCGUUCGUGCUGCGCGCCGUGGCCGCGCUGGCCGCCGCCAUGCGCCGCGCGCCGCCCUCGCGCGUCGACCGCGCCGCCUGGACCAAGCUCAUCGACGUGUACCCGUCGCUGGUGCGGCUGGCGGGCGGCGCGCGCGUGUGCGGCGCGGGCGGCGCGGGCGCGGCGCUGCGCGAGGCGCUGCUGCAGUUCGGCGCGCUGCUGGCGCCGCCGCCCGCGCUCUAGCGCCGACUGCUCUACACCGCGCGCGUGUAGAGCGCGCCCACGGUGCGUCCCCGCUGCGUCCCCGCUGCGUCCCCGCUGCGUCCCCGCUGCGUCCCCGCUGCGUCCCCGCUGCGUCCCCGCUGCGUCCCCGCUCAGCGGCCCGGUGCUCUUUUCGUGUCAAAGAUGUCUCCGUGACAACGUAGUAUGUAAUAUAUAAAAUAAAGCGUUAAACAUUGUUGAUAGUUAAAUUUUGAACCUUAUCGCAGAAGAUAUAAGGUAGAUAGUUGUUCAUUAUUUUCUCAUUGUAUAGACUGAACUUAUUUAUUUGACAGAUUUAUAUGAUUUGAAAUUAAUGUAAAUUAUUUUUGAAAACAGUGUCAUAUGUUUAUAAUUUAGUUAGAAAUAAAAUAUUAAAAAAAGGAAAUAAUUCACACUACUAAUAUUUAUGGAUUAUAUUUUUUAAUCAGUACUUAUAUUUGUAUAUGGAAAAGAAAGGUUGUUUUUUAAUAGAAAAUACUCUUUGAUACAACGACAGAUAAGAAAUUGUACAAAGGUCCUUAAGCAGAUGAUUUUAAAGAAUAAAUAAUAAAACCAUAAAUGAGCUAAACAAUAUAAAUCAGUAAAACACUAUUACUCCUUUAAACGAGUUUUUACUAUUUACCCGAAUAGAAUAACCGAAUAUGGUCAGUAAUAAUGUCAUAGUUUUGGAGAUAUUUGUAAUGUUACCUUAAUAUCUCACAAAACCCAUCUACAAUAUGAUUUUUGAUAUUUGAAACAGCCUGCAUAAAAUAACUUAUCAGCAUUUCUUCUAAAACGAUUUUAAAUCCAUUAUAAUUUAUAUGCUAUCAUUUUAUUUGUAUAUAUUUUAAAUAAUUAUUAUAUUAGUUAUCGCUAUUAAAGGGUACACCCUUACUUGUGCUAAAUGUGUGUCUGUUCGUGUAAAAGGCACUCUCUCAUAAAACUAAAGUCGUUUAAAAUCUUAUUUUGGGUUCCUGUUAUUGACAAAUUAUCAUUUUACGAACAACUUUUGGUUAAUUUACAAAUUAUAUUUUCAUUACUUAAUAUAAUAAUUAUUUGACAAACAAUUGAUUUUAUACAUAAUAUAUUGGUAAGGUUAUAUAAAAACUUUUUUUUUUUUUUGUUAAUUAAAGUUUAACAUUUAUCGAUAGUGUUUUUGUCAAAUUAUAUUUUAUAAAACGAUAUGUUUGUUACCUGAAUAGUUUUUUUUUUAAAUGAUAAUUUGUCACACGGCUCUUGUCAAACAUAAUGGGAACCCUUUAGUUUCCGUACAGUUUUCGGUUUGUGCAGUCAAAUUGUUGAAGCUAUUAGCAACAAGCAAACUUGCACCGUUUAGUCGAUUGUCUUUCUAUAGCGACUUCACUGCUCAAAUCCGGCUGCCUUGGUCGCUACGUGUAGACUAGAUAAAGCAUAAGUGUAAAAAAUAUAUACAUCACAUAUCUAUAAGUUGUGAAAAAUAUCGUGUAUAUUUCAUUUGUUCUGAAUAUAUAUAUAUAUAUAUAGAAUACAUUAGAUAAUUAUAAGAUAUCUUCCAAAUUUGCCCGAAAGAUGGCGCUAGUAUUAUAUAAUUGUUACUUUUAUACAUUAAUAUUAAAAAUGUGUAGCGUCACUGUGUUUAGAAUCGGUUAAAAAUACACGUUUACUAGAUAGCAAUUCAAUCUAGGUUCUUUUAAUAAAUUAUGAUAACAAUACUACCAAAAUUCCAAUUUAAAAAAUGUUAACAGUGUCUUGCUUAGUGUUGUCAAACUGUUACCGAUAUUUGCUAUAAUUUAUUAAUAUCAUCGAUUUGUUAUGAUGUUUUUUUAUUAAAACAAAAGGACUUCCGUGUUCCUAAAACCGUACGCGCCAAAAACGUACGCCAAAUAUUUUAAAGUAAAUUAUUUUGAAUUAUUUAUAUUAAAAAUAUAGCAAAUGCGUUCCAUUUUUAAUGAUAUCUCCUGAAUAAGUUACAUGUAGUCGUCAUUAAAAAAUAUAUUAAGUCUCUUCGAACAGUGUAUACGAUUUUCAACAUAAUAUUUAUUAGAUUACUGUACGUAUUACUUUAUUUAAUUUGGUAUAUAUGCAAAUAAGAAAGAACAAUAUUGAUAUUUAUAAAAACGAUAUAAAUAUGUAUGCUUCAAAUGCUUAAAAAAAUUUUGACAGAAUAUUUCUAUAAUCAUACAAUGAAAAUAAAAGUUGUGUCAUUUAGUUUUACAAAUAAUUUAUUGUGAACCUUUGAAAUAAGAUAUAUGUAAUAUCAAUUUUACGAAUAUAAUAAAACAAUGCAAUAAUUCAAUAAGAUAAGUAUAAUUCACUUGAAACGGAGAAGUAGACAAAACAAGACAUAAAAGUUUAAAUACAGACAUUUUCAAUAAUGUAAUUGUUCUUUUGAAUGUUUAUAAAAACGUAAAUGAAAAAAAACUCUUCAAGUCAUUCAUGUUAUAAGUGACAGUAGUGUCUUAUAUGAGCACAUCACACGCUUUCUCUUCAUCAUUCGUCUUCAUAGUAAACCAUCUUUACUAUAUUUCACCAUUAAUUUUAUGUUCAUAUUCAAAGAUUAUUUACGUUUGGCAAUAUUCCAAAAGUAUAAAGAAAAUAACGUCAAAUUAAUGUUUAAAUUUUGUGUUUUUUUUUUCAUUAUAAUUAUGAAAUCUUAACGUAAGUUCAUAUUCUUGUUAUUUUUUUUUAUUGUUUUCUAGCAUGGAUUAAUAAUCUCCAUGCAUUUUUGCCACGUCAAUCACCGGUGUGUAGUAAAAUCAAUGCUAAAGUUCACACGAAAUCAAUAACGAUUCGACCUAGAUCUUCAUAAUAAUAUAGAAAGUUACACUUUUAUCUUUUUUUGUGUCCACAUUGAUACUAAUCCAUCACUUAACUAUUAGAUAUUACGGCCUCACUUAUAAACGUCGCUUAACGGCUGUUUAGUUGAACACGCAUUUCGCUCUUUCUGUCAUCAUUGAUUUGGAAUUCGAAAGAAAGAGACAGCAUUGUUUAACAAAUCACCCGCUAAGCAGCGUUUAUAAGGCCUUUAGUUUUUAGCUGUAAUCUGUAAUGAGAAAAAAAAUCGUUUUUUUUUAAAUUACAACUAAAUUAGUGCACGCCUCUGCUUUAUUAUCUGAAAUAGUUACUAAUAGGGCUAACAUAUAACCGCAUAGUACGAAGUAGUUAAAGUGUAUUAUUCCAGUAAGUUAAUUAACAUUUUGGUAGAUGACAAGAAAUUAUUUAAUACUUAUAUAUUAUGUCGAAUUUUAUUUUCUGUACGAAAAAGGAACCCAUGUCAGUGUCUUAUACAGAAUGAAAUAAAUCAUUAAAGUAA